AAUGGACGCAAGUCUGAUCCAGCAAUGCCGCGUGCAGGACGAAGGCCUUCGGGUUGUAAACUGCUUUUGUACAGAACGAAAAGGCUCUGGUUAAUACCUGGGGCUCAUGACGGUACUGUAAGAAUAAGCACCGGCUAACUACGUGCCAGCAGCCGCGGUAAUACGUAGGGUGCGAGCGUUAAUCGGAAUUACUGGGCGUAAAGCGUGCGCAGGCGGUUUUGUAAGACCGAUGUGAAAUCCCCGGGCUCAACCUGGGAACUGCAUUGGUGACUGCAAGGCUGGAGUGCGGCAGAGGGGGAUGGAAUUCCGCGUGUAGCAGUGAAAUGCGUAGAUAUGCGGAGGAACACCGAUGGCGAAGGCAAUCCCCUGGGCCUGCACUGACGCUCAUGCACGAAAGCGUGGGGAGCAAA
rnacentral:rRNA from 1 species